GCUCGUAGUUGGAUUUCCGGCGUGAGGGAUCAGUCUGACUUCUAGUCAGUACUUGGUCCUCUCAUGCCGUCCUUGAAUGGUGCAUCCUGGCAUUAAGUUGUCGGGGUGAGAGCCGUUCAUCGUUUACUGUGAGAAAAUUAGAGUGUUCAAAGCAGGCUUAUGCCGUUGAAUAUAUUAGCAUGGAAUAAUAAGAUAGGACUUUGGUACUAUUUUGUUGGUUUGAGAACCAAGGUAAUGAUCAAUAGGGACAGUUGGGGGUAUUCGUAUUCAGUUGUCAGAGGUGAAAUUCUUAGAUUUCCGGAAGACGAACUACUGCGAAAGCAUUUACCAAGGAUGUUUUCAUUAAUCAAGAACGAAAGUAUGGGGAUCGAAGAUGAUUAGAUACCAUCGUAGUCUAUACCAUAAACUAUGCCGACUCAGGAUGGGCGG
rnacentral:rRNA from 1 species